rnacentral:rRNA from 1 species
GGCGCGAAAACUCUACAAUGCAGGCAACUGCGAUAGGGGAACAUCGAGUGAUCCUCAUAUUGGGGGUCUGUCCCACCGUCUAAAAAACGGUGGUUAGCAAGGGCCGGGCAAGACCGGUGCCAGCCGCCGCGGUAAUACCGGCGGCUCGAGUGGUGGCCGAUAUUAUUGAGUCUAAAGGGUCCGUAGCCGGCUUUGCAAGUCUCUCGGGAAAUCCAGCGGCUUAACCGUUGGUCGUCCGGGGGGUACUACAUUGCUUGGGACUGGGAGAGGUAGGAGGUACUCAGGGGGUAGGAGUGAAAUCCUGUAAUCCUCUGGGGACCACCGGUGGCGAAGGCGUCCUACCAGAACAGGUCCGACGGUGAGGGACGAAAGCUAGGGGCACGAACCGGAUUAGAUACCCGGGUAGUCCUAGCCGUAAACGAUGCUCGCUAGGUGUCACAACAGUCGUGAACUGUUGUGGUGCCGUAGGGAAGCCGUGAAGCGAGCCACUUGGGAAGUACGACCGCAAGGUUGAAACUUAAAGGAAUUGGCGGGGGAGCAC